GGAAACUGCAAUAAACCAUCAACUUAGCUGCGCAUUCUUAAACCAGACGUGAUUCAAAAAUGAAAGAAGAACACAUUCUUGGUCUCACGAGAAGUGGCGAUCGCUCGGAGUCGUUUGAUGCCGCAGUACGUUCGUGGUACGUCGCGCGGUUCUCCGAAAAGUGGAGUCGACGGCGCGCGAGAUAUGGGAUGCGCGCGUAGGAAUCGCACGCGCGGCACAUGGCCCCUUUUUUUAUCGCCACUCGACGACGUGGGCGAAUCGCUUGCAAACGGACGAAAGUGUAAUUUUAACGAACUCGUAGUUCCGGUAAUUAACUUUAUAUGCAACAAUAGACGAUAUAAAAUAGAGUUCAUCAAACAUGUUGAUUGAUCAAUUUGCGCAACGGGCUUUCACCGUUUAAAGUCAGCCAAUAGAAUGUCUAAUGAAGAAAAUUACGAAUACAAUUUAUUUCGAAGUGUGUUAAAGGCAAACUGCAUCUAAAUAGCUGUUACAAUAAACAUUAAUUAAUCAAUUGA